rnacentral:tRNA from 1 species
GAAAACCUGGCUCAAUGGUAGAGCGUUUUACUCAGUUACCAGAGGUCGCGGGUUCGAAUCCCAGGUUUUCC